AGUGAACGCUGGCGGUAGGCCUAACACAUGCAAGUCGAACGGCAGCACAGUAAGAGCUUGCUCUUACGGGUGGCGAGUGGCGGACGGGUGAGGAAUACAUCGGAGUCUACUUUUUCGUGGGGGAUAACGUAGGGAAACUUACGCUAAUACCGCAUACGACCUACGGGUGAAAGCAGGGGAUCUUCGGACCUUGCGCGAUUGAAUGAGCCGAUGUCGGAUUAGCUAGUUGGCGGGGUAAGGGCCCACCAAGGCGACGAUCCGUAGCUGGUCUGAGAGGAUGAUCAGCCACACUGGAACUGAGACACGGUCCAGACUCCUACGGGAGGCAGCAGUGGGGAAUAUUGGACAAUGGGCGCAAGCCUGAUCCAGCCAUACCGCGUGGGUGAAGAAGGCCUUCGGGUUGUAAAGCCCUUUUGUUGGGAAAGAAAAGCAGCAGGUUAAUACCCCGCUGUUCUGACGGUACCCAAAGAAUAAGCACCGGCUAACUUCGUG
rnacentral:rRNA from 1 species